rnacentral:rRNA from 1 species
UACGAAGGUGGCAAGCGUUGUUCGGAUUUACUGGGCGUACAGGGAGCGUAGGCGGUUGGGUAAGCCCUUCGUGAAAUCUCCGGGCCUAACCCGGAAAGUGCGGAGGGGACUGCUCGGCUAGAGGAUGAGAGAGGAGCGCGGAAUUCCCGGUGUAGCGGUGAAAUGCGUAGAGAUCGGGAGGAAGGCCGGUGGCGAAGGCGGCGCUCUGGAACAUUUCUGACGCUGAGGCUCGAAAGCGUGGGGAGCAAACAGG